CCCUUAGAUGUUCUGGGCCGCACGCGCGCUACACUGAUGCAUUCAACGAGUCUAAAACCUGCUCUGAUAGGGGUGGGUAAUCUUUUGAAUGUGCAUCGUGAUUGGGAUAGAUGAUUGCAAUUUUUCAUCUUCAACGAGGAAUGCCUAGUAAACGCAAGUCAUCAGCUUGCAUUGAUUACGUCCCUGCCCUUUGUACACACCGCCCGUCGCUCCUACCGAUUGAAUGAUCCGAUGAAUAUCAUGGAUUGAGGAUGUAAGCAGGUUCGCCUGUCUUCAUCUUCGAGAAGUGAAGUAAAUCUUACCAUUUAGAGGUAGGAGAAGUCGUAACA
rnacentral:rRNA from 1 species